ACUCCUGCGGGAGGCAGCAGUGGGGAAUAUUGCACAAUGGGCGCAAGCCUGAUGCAGCGACGCCGCGUGGGGGAUGAAGGCCUUCGGGUUGUAAACUCCUUUCGCUAGGGACGAAGCUUUUUUGUGACGGUACCUAGAUAAGAAGCACCGGCUAACUACGUGCCAGCAGCCGCGGUAAUACGUAGGGUGCGAGCGUUGUCCGGAAUUACUGGGCGUAAAGGGCUCGUAGGUGGUUUGUCGCGUCGUCUGUGAAAUUCUGGGGCUUAACUCCGGGCGUGCAGGCGAUACGGGCAUAACUUGAGUGCUGUAGGGGUAACUGGAAUUCCUGGUGUAGCGGUGAAAUGCGCAGAUAUCAGGAGGAACACCGAUGGCGAAGGCAGGUUACUGGGCAGUUACUGACGCUGAGGAGCGAAAGCAUGGGUAGCGAACAGGAUUAGAUACCCGUGUAGUCCC
rnacentral:rRNA from 1 species